rnacentral:rRNA from 1 species
UCUGGCGUCCUUCGGGCGUCCGAGUUGUAAUCUAUAGAAGUGUUUUCCGUGCCGGACCAUGUCCAAGUCCCUUGGAACAGGGUAUCAAAGAGGGUGACAAUCCCGUACUUGACAUGACCACCGGUGCUCUGUGAUACACUUUCUACGAGUCGAGUUGUUUGGGAAUGCAGCUCAAAAUGGGUGGUAAAUUCCAUCUAAAGCUAAAUAUUGGCGAGAGACCGAUAGCGAACAAGUACCGUGAGGGAAAGAUGAAAAGCACUUUGGAAAGAGAGUUAAACAGUACGUGAAAUUGUUGAAAGGGAAACGAUUGAAGUCAGUCGUGUUCUUUGGACUCAGCCGGUUCUUCCGGUCUAUUUCCUUUGAACGGGUCAACAUCAGUUUUGUCCGGUGGAUAAAGGCAGGAAGAAAGUGGCUCCCUCGGGAGUGUUAUAGCUUUCUGUCACAUACACUGGAGGAGACUGAGGACUGCAGCUCGC